UACAGAGGGUGCAAGCGUUGUUCGGAAUUACUGGGCGUAAAGCGCGUGUAGGCGGUCCGGUAAGUCCGCUGUGAAAGUCGGGGGCUCAACCCUCGAAUGCCGGUGGAUACUGUCGGGCUAGAGUACGGAAGAGGCGAGUGGAAUUCCUGGUGUAGCGGUGAAAUGCGCAGAUAUCAGGAGGAACACCAAUUGCGAAGGCAGCUCGCUGGGACGUUACUGACGCUGAGACGCGAAAGCGUGGGGAGCAAACAGG
rnacentral:rRNA from 1 species